ACACUCCUGCGGGAGGCAGCAGUGGGGAAUAUUGCACAAUGGGCGCAAGCCUGAUGCAGCCAUGCCGCGUGUAUGAAGAAGGCCUUCGGGUUGUAAAGUACUUUCAGCGGGGAGGAAGGCGAUAAGGUUAAUAACCUUGUCGAUUGACGUUACCCGCAGAAGAAGCACCGGCUAACUCCGUGCCAGCAGCCGCGGUAAUACGGAGGGUGCAAGCGUUAAUCGGAAUUACUGGGCGUAAAGCGCACGCAGGCGGUCUGUCAAGUCGGAUGUGAAAUCCCCGGGCUCAACCUGGGAACUGCAUUCGAAACUGGCAGGCUAGAGUCUUGUAGAGGGGGGUAGAAUUCCAGGUGUAGCGGUGAAAUGCGUAGAGAUCUGGAGGAAUACCGGUGGCGAAGGCGGCCCCCUGGACAAAGACUGACGCUCAGGUGCGAAAGCGUGGGGAGCAAACAGGAUUAGAAACCCUAGUAGUCCCAUGA
rnacentral:rRNA from 1 species